rnacentral:rRNA from 1 species
UACGUAGGGCGCAAGCGUAUCCGGAAUUAUUGGGCGAAAGAGCUCGUAGGCGGUUUGUCGCGUCUGCCGUGAAAGUCCGGGGCUCAACUCCGGAUCUGCGGUGGGUACGGGCAGACUAGAGUGAUGUAGGGGAGACUGGAAUUCCUGGUGUAGCGGUGAAAUGCGCAGAUAUCAGGAGGAACACCGAUGGCGAAGGCAGGUCUCUGGGCAUUAACUGACGCUGAGGAGCGAAAGCAUGGGGAGCGAACAGG